CCUACGGGAGGCAGCAGUGGGGAAUUUUGGACAAUGGGCGCAAGCCUGAUCCAGCAAUGCCGCGUGAGUGAAGAAGGCCUUCGGGUUGUAAAGCUCUUUUGUCAGGGAAGAAACGGUCUACUCUAAUACAGUGGGCUAAUGACGGUACCUGAAGAAUAAGCACCGGCUAACUACGUGCCAGCAGCCGCGGUAAUACGUAGGGUGCAAGCGUUAAUCGGAAUUACUGGGCGUAAAGCGUGCGCAGGCGGUUAUAUAAGUCAGAUGUGAAAUCCCCGGGCUCAACCUGGGAACUGCAUUUGAGACUGUAUGGCUAGAGUGUGUCAGAGGGGGGUAGAAUUCCACGUGUAGCAGUGAAAUGCGUAGAUAUGUGGAGGAAUACCGAUGGCGAAGGCAGCCCCCUGGGAUAACACUGACGCUCAUGCACGAAAGCGUGGGGAGCAAACAGGAUUAGAUACCCUGGUAGUCCACGCCCUAAACGAUGUCUACUAGUUGUCGGGACUUAAUUGUCUUGGUAACGCAGCUAACGCGUGAAGUAGACCGCCUGGGGAUACGGUCGCAAGNUUAAAACUAGAGAUUGACGNUGAGACNGCGACGACGACGACGAGGGAGGAGG
rnacentral:rRNA from 1 species